AACGAACGCUGGCGGCAGGCUUAACACAUGCAAGUCGAGCGCCCCGCAAGGGGAGCGGCAGACGGGUGAGUAACGCGUGGGAAUCUACCCAUCUCUACGGAAUAACGCAUGGAAACGUGCGCUAAUACCGUAUACGUCCUUCGGGAGAAAGAUUUAUCGGAGAUGGAUGAGCCCGCGUUGGAUUAGCUAGUUGGUGGGGUAAAGGCCUACCAAGGCGACGAUCCAUAGCUGGUCUGAGAGGAUGAUCAGCCACACUGGGACUGAGACACGGCCCAGACUCCUACGGGAGGCAGCAGUGGGGAAUAUUGGACAAUGGGCGCAAGCCUGAUCCAGCCAUGCCGCGUGAGUGAUGAAGGCCCUAGGGUUGUAAAGCUCUUUCACCGGUGAAGAUAAUGACGGUAACCGGAGAAGAAGCCCCGGCUGACUUCGUGCCAGCAGCCGCAGUAACAC
rnacentral:rRNA from 1 species